ACAAGUACCGUGAGGGAAAGGUGAAAAGUACCCCGGGAGGGGAGUGAAAUAGUACCUGAAACCGUUUGCUUACAAACCGUCGGAGCCUCCUUGUAGGGGUGACGGCGUGCCUUUUGAAGAAUGAGCCUGCGAGUUAGUGAUAUGUGGCGAGGUUAACCCGUGUGGGGCAGCCGUAGCGAAAGCGAGUCUGAAUAGGGCGAUUUCAGUCGCAUGUCCUAGACCCGAAGCGAAGUGAUCUAUCCAUGGCCAGGUUGAAGCGACGGUAAGACGUCGUGGAGGACCGAACCCACUUCAGUUGAAAAUGGAGGGGAUGAGCUGUGGAUAGGGGUGAAAGGCCAAUCAAACUUCGUGAUAGCUGGUUCUCUCCGAAAUGCAUUUAGGUGCAGCGUUGCGUGUUUCUCGCCGGAGGUAGAGCUACUGGAUGGCCGAUGGGCCUCAACAGGUUACUGACGUCAGCCAAACUCCGAAUGCCGGUGAGUGAGAGCGCAGCAGUGAGACGGUGGGGGAUAAGCUUCAUCGUCGAGAGGGAAACAACCCAGACUACCAACUAAGGCCCCUAAGCGUGUGCUAAGUGGGAAAGGAUGUGGAGUUGCAUAGACAACCAGGAGGUUGGCUUAGAAGCAGCCACCCUUGAAAGAGUGCGUAAUAGCUCACUGGUCAAGUGAUUCCGCGCCGACAAUGUAACGGGGCUCAAGCACACCGCCGAAGUUGUAGAUUUCGCACACUCGAUAAGCCUUCGUGGUUCAGUCGUGCGGAGUGGUAGGAGAGCGUCGUGUGGCGAGUGAAGCGGCGGAGUGAUCCAGCCGUGGACGCUACACGAGUGAGAAUGCAGGCAUGAGUAGCGAAAGACGGGUGAGAAACCCGUCCUCCGAAAGACCAAGGGUUCCAGGGCCAGGUUAAUCCGCCCUGGGUAAGUCGGGACCUAAGGCGAGGCCGACAGGCGUAGUCGAUGGACAACGGGUUGAUAUUCCCGUACCGGCGAACAACCGCCCAAGCUAAUCCAGUGGUGCUAAGAGUCCUAACCCGGUUCCAGCGGAUCCCUUCGGGGUGAUGCGGUCCGGUCUAACGCUCGACCCCAUGCUGGUGCGGUUAGCGUAUGAACAGGUGUGACGCAGGAAGGUAGCUGAGCCAGGCGAUGGUAUCCGUAAGGUGAACCUGGUGUAAGGAUGUAGGGCUGACGAUAGGCAAAUCCGUCGUCUGUAUGCCUGAGAUCCGACGCGUACCCGUAAGGGGAAAUCAGUGAUCCUAUGCUGCCGAGAAAAGCAUCGACGCGAGGUUGCAGCCGCCCGUACCCGAAACCGACUCAGGUGGUCAGGUAGAGAAUACCAAGGAGAUCGAGAGAAUCGUGGUUAAGGAACUCGGCAAAAUGCCCCCGUAACUUCGGGAGAAGGGGGGCCGGACACGUGACCGGAUUUACUCCGUGAGCGUUGAAGGCCGCAGAGACCAGUGGGAAGCGACUGUUUACUAAAAACACAGGUCCGUGCGAAGUCGCAAGACGAUGUAUACGGACUGACGCCUGCCCGGUGCUGGAAGGUUAAGAGGAGGGGUUAGCCUUUGGGCGAAGCUCUGAAUUUAAGCCCCAGUAAACGGCGGUGGUAACUAUAACCAUCCUAAGGUAGCGAAAUUCCUUGUCGGGUAAGUUCCGACCUGCACGAAUGGCGUAACGACUUCCCAGCUGUCUCAACCGCGAACUCGGCGAAAUUGCACUACGAGUAAAGAUGCUCGUUACGCGCAGCAGGACGGAAAGACCCCGUGACCUUUACUACAGUUUGGUAUUGGUGUUCGGUGUGGCUUGUGUAGGAUAGGUGGGAGACUGUGAAGCGGGCACGCUAGUGUUCGUGGAGUCAUUGUUGAAAUACCACUCUGGUCACUCUGGAUGUCUAACGUAGGACCCUGAUCGGGUUCAUGGACAGUGCCUGAUGGGUAGUUUAACUGGGGCGGUUGCCUCCCAAAGAGUAACGGAGGCGCCCAAAGGUUCCCUCAACCUGGUUGGCAAUCAGGUGGCGAGUGUAAGUGCACAAGGGAGCUUGACUGUGAGACUGACAGGUCGAGCAGGGACGAAAGUCGGGACUAGUGAUCCGGCAGUGGCUUGUGGAAGCGCUGUCGCUCAACGGAUAAAAGGUACCUCGGGGAUAACAGGCUGAUCUUGCCCAAGAGUCCAUAUCGACGGCAUGGUUUGGCACCUCGAUGUCGGCUCGUCGCAUCCUGGGGCUGGAGUAGGUCCCAAGGGUUGGGCUGUUCGCCCAUUAAAGCGGUACGCGAGCUGGGUUUAGAACGUCGUGAGACAGUUCGGUCCCUAUCCGCUGCGCGCGUUGGAAAUUUGAGAAGAUCUAUCCCUAGUACGAGAGGACCGGGAUGGACGAACCUCUGGUGUGUCAGUUGUUCUGCCAAGGGCACCGCUGAUUAGCUACGUUCGGACCGGAUAACCGCUGAAAGCAUCUAAGCGGGAAGCCGUCUUCGAGAUGAGAUUUCCAUGCACCUUGAGUGUGAGAGGCUCCCAGCAGACUACUGGGUUGAUAGGCCGGAUGUGGAAGCGGGGACUAACGACCCGUGGAGCUGACCGGUACUAAUAAGCCGAAGACUUGACAA
rnacentral:rRNA from 1 species